UACGUAGGGUGCAAGCGUUAAUCGGAAUUACUGGGCGUAAAGCGUGCGCAGGCGGUUUUGUAAGUCUGACGUGAAAUCCCCGGGCUCAACCUGGGAAUUGCGUUGGAGACUGCAAGGCUAGAAUCUGGCAGAGGGGGGUAGAAUUCCCGGUGUAGCGGUGAAAUGCGUAGAUAUCUGGAGGAACACCGGUGGCGAAGGCGGCAUCCUGGACCAACACUGACGCUGAGGAG
rnacentral:rRNA from 1 species